rnacentral:rRNA from 1 species
GAUGAACGCUGGCGGCGUGCCUAAUACAUGCAAGUCGAGCGAACGGACGAGAAGCUUGCUUCUCUGAUGUUAGCGGCGGACGGGUGAGUAACACGUGGAUAACCUACCUAUAAGACUGGGAUAACUUCGGAAAACCGGAGCUAAUACCGGAUAAUAUUUUGAACCGCAUGGUUCAAAAGUGAAAGACGGUCUUGCUGUCACUUAUAGAUGGAUCCGCGCUGCAUUAGCUAGUUGGUAAGGUAACGGCUUAUCAAGGCAACGAUGCAUAGCCGACCUGAGAGAGUGAUCGGCGACACUGGAACUGAAACACGGUCCAGACUCCUACGGGAGGCAGCAGUAGGGAAUCUUCCGCAAUAGGCGAAAGCCUGACGGAGCAACGCCGCGUGAGUGAUGGAGGUCUUCGGAUCGUGAAACUCUGUUAUUAGGGAAGAACAUAUGUGUAAGUAGCUGUGCACAUCUUGACGGUACCUGAUCAGAAAGCCACGGCUAACUACGUG